GCGCCGGUGGUGUAAGGCGAACAUCGCUGCCCGGAAAGCAGAAGAUGCCGGUUCGAGUCCCGCCUGGCGCA
rnacentral:tRNA from 1 species